AUUAUACUCUUCAACAUAUGCAUGGUUAAUACUUGCCUCCCCAUCCCAGUCCAUUAUGCGAUUUUUAUUUGUUCUGUUUCCUCCUGGAAUGAACUAAUUCCAGUGAAAUAUUUGCAAGAAUCAUGUUCUAAACUUGAAUAGUAAUGUCUGGCAUUUCGGCUUGGUGGUGAGGUGCUUGAGGUCGUGUCUCCACGUCAGGAACCUCUUCUUGAGCAUGCCAGUACUUCGUGGUGGUGAGGUCUGUCUCCAAGGUAGAACUGUUCACUACUAGGGAAAAGCCUAUACACAGAAUCUUACCAGCAGCGCGCUUUAGAAUCAGGCGCUGCUGCUAUGUAGCAGUAGCGCGCGCUCUCAAAAUUUACUGCUGAAACAAGUUUAUCAGUAGCGCGCACACUCUAAAACGCGCUACUGCUAAAAUUCCCACGACGCCGCCAUGAGGCCAGUUAUAGCAGCAGCGUCUUAACACAAAGAGCGCUACUUCUACGGAUCAUAGCAGUAGCGCAUUUACGCAAUAAUCGCUACUACUAAGGUUACUACAAAAAUUUAGUCCCACCUCGCUCCGUGAAGAGAGUUUGUACCACCUUAAAUAUGUUACUUCCACAACUUUCACAAGCACUUGGUCUUCAUUGAACUCUAUGUGUAGGAUCUGUUGCCGCAAUAGGAAUCCUCGCCUGUUCUUAAACCAACCGUCGAGGAUUCCUAUUGACAAAUCAGAUUGUACACAAAAAGACAAUUGAUGAUCAAUGUAUUUUUUAUGUCUAUGUCUAACAUAGCAGUAGCGCGUUCUCGGCGAAAGGCGCUACUGAUAGGUCGUUUAGCAGUAGCCCAUUUUGCUAUAGCGCGCUACUACUAAGCCAUUCCAUCUCCCCCCACUCACCUAUCCGAUCCAGAUUACACUCACACACACACUCGAUCUCCCCCUCAACCCCCGCGCCGCCAGUCCUCCCCCGUCGCCCCUCCUCGAUCUGCGCCGCCGUCACCUCAUCCUCCUCGCUGGACUCGGUACCGGCCUCCUCCUCCGUCCUCCCUCCACUCGCCGCUGGCCGACCCCUCCUCGCUCCGCCUUCCUCCUCCAUUCCCCCUCCACUUGCCGCCGGCCAGCCCCUCCUCGCUCCGCCUUCCUCCUCCGUCCUACUCUCUUCUCCCUCCUCGAGUCGCCGCUCCUUCUCCCUCCUCCCUGCUACAUUUUGAUUUAGUAGGCUAGUUCAUAUGCAACAUUCUGAUUUAGUUGAUAUGAUUCAGUUGAUUUAGUAGGCUAGUUGAUUUAGAACAUUUUGAUUUAGUUGAUUUAGUAGGCUAGUUGAUUUAGUUAAUUUAGUAGGCUAGUUGAUUUAGUUUAUUUAGAACAUUUUGAUUUAGUUGAUUUAGUAUGCUAGUGGAUUUAGUAUGCUAGUUGAUUUAGUUAAUUUAGUAUGCACCAUUUUAUUGUUAUUUUUUCGGCAAUAGGUGCCACCGGAAUGCUUUGGUACGUGGUACCUUGUCAUCUAAUAUGUUAUUAGAUUUUAGGAUUAUAAUUGUCCAUAAAAUUGCUUCUCGCGGAAGAACCAAAAAUAAAACAUACUACUGUUUUUCUUUCCUGUGAAGUGAAUCAUUAAUCCUUUGCUCAUAUUGCUUUAGGAAAAUGGUGCCACCACCACCACCACUAUGUCGACUGCGCAAGUCAAGGUGCGCCAGCAGCCUUGCAACUGGCAAGAUGUUUGGCAUCUACUUCCAACCGAGUUUUCAUCAUGCGGCGGUAAGAAAUUAGAUGAAACUAGUCGUCAACCCGUGCAUCCGCACGGGCUAGUUAUUUUGAGUGUCAACUUUGUAUUUGUGAUUCCAUUAAAUGAUUUCUUUGUAUCCUCAAUUUCACCAGUUUAGUAUUAGUAGGUUCAUAAAGAAUUGGGCAAAGAGAUCAUGGUCAUAAGUAUGAAAAUAUACUUUCAUGAUCCAUGAUAUCAUAUAUAGAUAAGAAAAAUGAUCAAUUGUCAUAAAAAGUAAUUGAAAUGAAACUUCAUACACGUCCUGGCAUUCUGGCUUAUGUGUAGAAGAUUAGAAUAUAUAUAUAUAUAUAUAUAUAUAUAUAUAUAUAUAUAUAUAUAUAUAUAUAAUGCUUCAAGUAGCACCAUGUACAUAGAAAAAUAUGCUUAAAAGACGAAUAAAUUGUAAAGAACUAUGUAAUUAAUGCUCCAAAAUGACUUUGACUUGUGUACUUUCGACUAAAAUUAUAUGAGGCCCUCCAGUUCACUCUGUAGAAGAUAUUAGAGCAUAGACAUGAUUAUUCCUUUUAAUAUAUCCCAUUAUAGAGAAUGGAAAUGUACGUACGUAAGAGACCAUAUUUUCUGCUUAUAGUAAAUAAAUACAAACUAAACUUUAUCUACUCACGAUGCAUGUCUACUAAGGUCUGCGCUUGUAUCUAUAACAAAGAUAUCAACUACAACAGGGAAAACAAUUUAGUAUAGUGGAGUCAAUUACUACAGAUAACGUUAUUGGAAAUUUGCUAGUCUUAUUAAGCAAGCCCAAGUUGCAUACAACAGAAUAAAUAAGUUGUACUACAAAAAUCAGUUCAGCUAUUAAAACUAACCAAGUAUAUAUAUGUGGAAAAACUACCAGACGUUCAGUUGAGCAUCAUUUUUCGAUCUCCCUAGCCGAUUCAGGUAAAUACUGCAAGGCACCACCUUCUUUUCAUAAUGAAUGCAUAUACAUUCAAUAUGCAGAAAAAGCAAUAUAAAAAGAUCCACCACAUAGCUGAUAGCGUCAUUUUUACUUGUAAGAUGCACAUAUCCAAUUGGAUAACUGGGUGAGCAUAAAUUAAAAGAAGAGACCAAAGAAUUGAAAUAACCUGCAGAAAUUGUCAUCCACUUCCAGCUAGCGUCACUGUUAUAUAAAAUACAGUAAGGGAAGCGAUUAUAGGAACUCAAUAGAGAUAAUUCUGGGUACGUACUCCUACCACAAACCUCAUGUACAGCAUAUGUUGAUUGGAUAAUCUAACUACCGGAUGCAAACAACAAAAACAGAUUAGAAUACCAGCACGGCAUCCUCCGGUUAUAAACGAAAGCGAACGGCAUCAUCAUCUUGGACGGGCGACACUGGCGGCAUUCGACGCGACACUGGCACAACAACCAGUGGCGGUGCCAGGAUCUGAAGUCUGUGAUGUCAUUUUAAAUCUGUGAUGUCAAAUACAUGUGUUUUCAUCAAUUUUAUAAAAAAAAUACAUGAUUUCUACUUGUGUAUAAAGGAUUUGCCAAAAACCUGUGUGGUCAACUGACCAUACUCCUCUCAACGUGGCUUCGCCACUGGGCACAACGGCUUGUUGAUUGGAGUUGAUGCUCAAGCACGAAGGAACCCAUCGACAUGGAAAAGCAUGGGUUAGUGGACUCCUCGAGGUGUGAUGGCAUCAAAGUGGAGGCACAUUCACAGGGAUAUGUGUCCAUGUUAUAUGAUCUUCGCCUCGCGAGUUUUGAUUAGGAGAAUCUGACAACACUUAUUUUGCUUUGAUCUUCGCCUCCCGAGUUCUCAUUAUUUUCUCUUAGAAUAUAAGAUAAUCUGUGAAUUGAUUUGAAAGUUGGACGAUCCAAUGAGAUAUAUACAAAGGACUAAUUAAUCGCCCAUCUGAUCUUUAUUAGGUCUAUUAUAUAAUAAACAAAGUCCCAAAGUUGAAGUUACAAUUAAAGGGGAACAGAAGCAAAUCUCAGAUAGUACCUGCCAGGAGCGGCUCAAACCUCAAAACUGCAUGAACAACUCUGUUCCGGGUAAAAAAGCGAAUCAAACUGUAAAUCUAUGAUAAAAACCAGACUGUAUUACUAUUAACUAUAUAUCAGAACAGUACCUGCAAGUAUGGUUGCACAACUCGUAUUCUCCUUUAUGCUUGCCUGUGAGAGAACUAAUUAUCGUGUGUACGCGACCAAGGAUGAAUAACGAAAGAAAAUUCAAUAAAGAGAUUCAACAAAGCCAAAUUAGCAGGUUUGCUCUCCUAAAAGCAUCAGGUACGUCACCAAGCACGUACAAACUGCAGAAAAAAUACCAAAUUAGCUAAUAGAAAGAAGAGUUAAUUUUACAAAUCAUGUUGCAGCAUACAUCUAAUCUUUGUAAGUUGGGGUUAAGAAGAUGAUGUAAAAACUGGUUUUGAAGAAGAUGAUGUACCCUUGUUUGCGUGAAUGAAAUAGCGAGAAGGUUCUAAGAAUAUAGGCAAUGGAGGCAGGAGGUGAUAUAGUGCUGGACAUGUGAUCUGUACCAACAAUGGUGGCCGGGAGAAGAGCGAGGAGGCAACCACGGGCCAAGGCAGCGAGAAGCCCAAAGAUUGUUUCCCCACCGAUUCAUGGCUGUUGUGACGGCGGCAAGCAGGACAGGAAGAUUGACAGAAGUUGUACGUGGAGAGGGAUUAUGGCAACGUAAUGCAGGGUGGGAUAGGAGAUAUGGGUAGGUAGGACGGUUGAUUAGGCUCGUAUAUUGGCUUUUUAGAGUGGAUCGUGCCCUUGCUGGAAUCUGCUAUGUUUUUCAACCGGCCAUACAUUGUGGGAUAUGUGUAGGUAGAUAGGAGGUAUUUUUUUAAAGCGGAGGUUGUUUAAUUGCGGUAGGAACAAACAGAGGAUUAGGAUCGUAACCUUGCUGGAUUCUAUUUACAACCGGCAAACCAUUGUGGGCCUUGGAGAUAUUUUUUUAAUAUAAAAAAAUCAGGCUGGAAAUCUAUGGGUCGAUCUACACCGUCUUAACUCAUAGGUCCCACCAGAUUAACGGCUCAUAAAUUCUAAUUAACGUGGUAAUUUUUUGGAAGUCUGUAAUUAGUAUAGGUAUAGAUAGAUAGAUAGAUAGAUAGAUAGAUAGAUGUAACAACUAUUUUAUUUUUAGUGUUGGCAUUACUGCAUUGUGUCAUUUUUCUUUUCUUACACAGACCGUCCCAUGCAAUGUGAGGUUGACAUUCAACAAGCUGACAGGAGACACUGUGACAUUUGAGGCUCCUGGGGGGCCGUACACUAUGGAGGUCGAAAAAGGACGCAAUAUGUCGCAGAUUAGAGGAGAUGGAUGGGCCCGUUUCCUCGCCCGCAUGCGUCUUACUGGUGGUGAGUUGAUCAGCUUCUCCUUUAGAGCAGAAAGACCCAAGCUGGCUGUCAUUUAUCUCAACCUGGUGGAAGAUGAUGAAGAUGACGAAGAUGAUGAAGAUGACGAAGAUGAUGCAGAUGAAGAAGAUGAUGAAGAUAAUGAGGACCCACUCGAUGAAGAUGAUGAGAACCCACUUCAUGAAGCCAUCGUAGCUCAAAGAAUGAGGCUGAGCGAGGAGGAGGUGUGCAACCUAUGGCACAUAAUUCCACCACGUGCUGACUUUGUCGGGGUGCCAUUUGUGACCCGCCUGACAAGUACCAUGGUCGAUCGACAUGAUAUGGUAUGUUAUACUUACAAAUGCAAAUUAUCCGAUGAUAUGCUUAGUGUAGAGUCCAAUGAUAUGUUGUGUGGAAUCUAGUCGUUGAUAUGCUUUAGUGUAGAGUCUGAUCACAUGCCUAUUAGUGUAGAAUCCAAGGAACUAUUAAUAGUGUAGAUAAUCCAUAUAUACUUAUUAGUAGAAUUCAUGAUUAAUUAGUACAAAUGCGUAGUACUGUGUCAUUUGAUAGUGUAGAAAUCUAGACUUAAUAGAAAUAUAUUUGCAAGAGUAUGUGUGAGGCUAUUUAUUAAUUGAUAUGUUUUUUUAUUCAGAAAUUGCCAAAAAACCUAUCUGUGAGUUGUGGUAUCGAGCCUGAUGAAGAAGGCUCAGCUGGACUACGCCUUACCGCAAGGGGCUCCGUCACCACCUGUACUUACCGCAUGGACACAGACUGUCGCACACACUUAAACUCGGUUGGGUGGAAGAGAUUCCUCGUUGGCAAGAAUCUUCGUGUUGGACAGGCCAUCCUAAUUACUAUCAGGAACACCCACCGCCCAGGCUUGAGGAUGAUGAUCGUCGUCGAUAUCAUCUAGAACUACAUAUGUGUGUGUGGCUAUAUCAUCUACAACUACAUAUGAUGAUCGUCGUCGAUAUCAUGUAGAACUACAUAUGAUGAUCGUCGUUGAUAUCAUCUAGAACUAAAUAUGAUGAUCGUCAUCGAUGUCACCUUGUACUGCUUGAGGAUGCAUGUUGAGUAUAUAUGAAAUUGUUAUCUAGUACUCCCUCGGUUCCAAAUUACUCGUCGUGGUUUUAGUUUAAAUUUGAACUAAAACCACGACGAGUAAUUUGGAACCGAGGGAGUACUAUCUAGUACCUAUAAUGCUUUAUGAAAUUGAUAUCUAGUAGCACCUAGUAUCUGGAAAUUGCAGUUUACUGAAGCUGGAAUGGGAAAAUGGUGAAAGAUAUAACAGUAGCGCGGGCUCAGGAAAUCGCUACAGCUAACUAAUAGUAGCGCGUUCCGAAAAUGCGAUGCUGAUAUAGUCAAUAGUAGUAGCGCGGGUACAGACAGCGCUACUACUAACAGUUAGCUGUAGCGCCUUAUUGGUAGCGCGGGUGCCCGCGCUACUGAUAGUCUCAAAACCCGUGCUACUACUAGGGUUUUCCCUAGUAGUGGUUGUUUGAUUAUUAAAUACCAAUAGGAGCCGGUCAUUGAACUAGUGAUGUAGCAACAUUCAGGCAAGCAUUGUUCUAUGCAUUUUCAUCGUGGUAGGUAGUUUUGAGCAAAGCUUGGAACGUCAACUACAAUAUUGCAUUACUAGAUUUAUGGGUAUUAGUUUUUUGAUAACUGUUCUUUGUAAAUGAAGCUUUCACGUAUUUUCACUCAAUGGCCAAGCAGUGAACUACUGAACUCUGUUCUAUAGAAUCAUACUGGUUAUCUUCAGUCAUUUUUAAUUACUAUCACAGAGAUUUCACAUAUC
rnacentral:lncRNA from 1 species